CUGCGUUACAUAACUAUUUGUCUACACUUUUGGGGAUAAAGAUGAUCUGCAUAUAUUUAUGAUGCGUAAGAAUAUAACGUCAAAACAAACAAGCACUGACGCUUUUACGUAUUAACAUGUCGAGUGACAAUAUCAUAAUAAUUUAUGAUGAAUGACCUAUUUGUGUUUAAUGUGUUUAUUUAACAGUGACCUCUUGAGCUUUCUGGGCGACAUCCGUUACGUAAGUGUGUAACGCACAUCAGACUAAUGCGAUUGAAGUUAAGAACAUUACGCAGCUAGUAAGAUUUGUCGGCAUCUUUUAACUCCUCUUUUUAAGCGUUUAGAGGAAAGGUGAUAUUUCAUGAAGCUUUUUGUCAGUGCAGAUCAUCGAGUGAGCCGUAAAGAUCGACCACUGAUCACAUCCCAUUGAUGGACAGUAAAAAUGAACGAAGACAAGUCUGCUCUGGAGCUCUAUAGAGAAUGUUUGGAUGACAACUCUGAUGAUUUUGGCGCGCAUGAAAGAUGGGACACACGAGACUGGCAGCUAGAAGUGGCUACUAGCUAACGGUGCUAACGCAGCUAACUGCUAAAGAGUCGACCGAGCUCCGCUUCAAUGACGACACUGUCGGCCACUUUCAGCUGUAACCGUAUGGCCGUAUGGGGACAUUAGGUGUAGCUGCCCCACUACAGUAGGCCGGUGGUUUGCUUUGACGUUUGCUCCAAUCCUCCGUCCAUAAAACUGCUGCGCACGCUUCCCUCCUGUUGCCACUAGGUGGCACCAGCAGACCGGUGUUUGCUAGAGGAAGGACCCCCGCGACACACACGUAGUACGCAUUGACAAUUACGUCCAUAACAAAACGACAAGAUUCCUGUAAAAAUGUACAUUUGAAGAUCUGCAAUUCAAUGACGGCUAAUCAGACUCUAUCUGCUGGUGUGAUAUAAUCAAAGGCUCCUGAUCGGCUGCUUAACGAAUGCAGGUGGCGUAUGAGGACCUCGACACUUGGAAAUGUCUGGAACACUGGUUCGGUCACAGCUCAAGCAGGAUAUUUUUUGCGUUGAAACGCUUUACUUGUUCUUCUUUUCCUACUGCAUCAUUGGAAAUAAACGUUUGGCUGUUUUAAGUUGAAAGAUGCCCGACAGGUUAUUUGUAUUUCUUGGCACGGAGGCAUGGAGACGUGCUGUACUCUGCUAUUGCUUAGAGUUUGUUUUACUGCCCGAUAACCACCUGAUGCAGUGGGGAUUUAUUGCUUUUACAUUUACUGUUGGAUAUGUACCGCCUGAUAUUCAUAUGAUGAGUCACAUGUUCUCUUGAACUUUCUCCUUAACCGUAGUCAAUAGGUUUACUAAGGAGCAAACGUAUAUCUCUGCAUAAACCCCUGCUAUUUGCUGUCAACAAGGAGUAAAUGUAUUUGUAUGGUUUUGAAUUAAUUUAAGGCUUGAUUACUGCUAAAAAGGUCUUUUUAAGUAUAGAUCUCAACUCUGACAUCUGACUGACGUAUACAGACCGUAUCUGUUCACGUCGGUCCAAACAAUGACUCAGCUUAUUGUGUAGACUUUUGAAGGCUGCAGUUGCUCGUUAUGGAAAAUGUUCCCAAACAUUUAUACCGAUGUGUUUUUCCGAGGCCUUCCAGCAGACUCUAGUGAUAGCGGUGGUGCCGUCUUCUCAUCGUGCUGUCUGGUACCUUUAAUACUCAAAUCCCAAAUCAACAUACAGUGCAUAAUGUAUACCCUGAUUAAGAGUCUUAAAAGUCGCAGUCUAGCUCGAAAGUCGUGCUGGAAAGUCCAAUAAUCACCCAGGUUUUUAUUUAUCAACAAAAGGCUGCACGUUCCUCUUUUAAAAUGGCCCGGUACUUCUACCCAUGGUGCCAGGUACACCAUCAAGUCCACAGAACUGUCUCCCAAAACACUUUGGUCUUAUCCACAUUCCUCGCAGCAUAUUGCAGUGGACUUUAGAUGUUCCUUGUGUUCUAGAGGGGAGUGCGGCCAUGGAGUGCACACUGGUACCAUCUCCAUCAGGUCAUGCUUGAGGUGUCCUCCAGGCACACAGGUUUUCUCUUAGUUCUCAGUCGCCACAUUCCUUGGAUGAAAUGUCAGGCUUUCUUCCCCAGGCCACGCAGGUUUGCAGCUGUUCCAUAAAUUUACAUAAAUUCCAUACAACGUUA